UUAGUUCAAUAAACCUAACUCUAUGGAGCAGUAAAAAGGGGAAUUGAUUGUUCUUCUUUAUUAUAAUAAAUGGUCUGUUAAGAGAGGCUUAUUCCUUUGACAGCUGCAUUUCAACCACCGUGUUCGUAUUCUUCUCAGGAAAUCAGGAAUCAAAUUACUACAACGGAAAGGGGCAUUAUUUUCCAUCUGGCAUAUGGUCAUGUGCGAAGCCAAAGAAACAGUAAAGUCCCAUGUAGUUCACGGCUGGAAAAGUUUGACCAAUAAUUUACAAAGAGCCUUCCUGGCAACUGCAGGGCAAUGUUUUCUAAUUCAAGCUGGAGGUACUCAAGAAACAGCCAAUCUGAACUAGUUAAUAAGUAAUUAUAAUCCUCUUCCAACAACUCUGGGUGGGAAAGAAGAAAUAAACAAGGAAAAAAGGGCGAAUGCAA